rnacentral:misc_RNA from 1 species
GUGAAUCAUCAAAUUUUUGAACGCAAAUUGCACUCUCUUCUGUGAGGAGGCCUGUUUGAGGGUCAGCCUAUAAAAAAUCGACAUCGUUGCUGUUUCUCGGUGGCGUUCGUCGGAAAUUGGGUCAUCUUACAUCCUUUUGAUUUAAGCGACUUAAAAUUUUCUUUUGGUUCCAUGACCGUUUCUA